rnacentral:rRNA from 1 species
CGUCAAGUCAUCAUGGCCCUUACGGCCUGGGCUACACACGUGCUACAAUGGUCGGUACAGAGGGUUGCCAAGCCGCGAGGUGGAGCUAAUCCCAUAAAACCGAUCGUAGUCCGGAUCGCAGUCUGCAACUCGACUGCGUGAAGUCGGAAUCGCUAGUAAUCGCGAAUCAGAAUGUCGCGGUGAAUACGUUCCCGGGCCUU